UACGUAGGCAGCGAGCGUUGUUCGGAAUUACUGGGCGUAAAGAGUGUGUAGGCGGUGCUCUAAGUUCGGUGUGAAAUCUCCUGGCUCAACUGGGAGGGUGCGCCGGAAACUGGAGUGCUUGAGCGUGGGAGAGGAAAGCGGAAUUCCUGGUGUAGCGGUGAAAUGCGCAGAUAUCAGGAGGAACACCGAUGGCGAAGGCAGGUCUCUGGGCCACUACUGACGCUGGAGAAGCGGAAAGCAUGGGGAGCGAACAGGA
rnacentral:rRNA from 1 species